UUUGGGCAAAUCCUGCAAAAUGGACUUCUUCCUAGCUUGUGGAAGGAGCAUUUUUAAGGGGUUAAAUAUUCUUCAGCUUCCGCUUGACAACUGAAUUUUGAAUUCACGAGCUGUGUCAUUCUCUCCGUAGCCACACAGGAGGGCCGUGCUCUGUGUAAUCUACAAAAACAAAGCCACCAGUUGUGAUCUUGCAAAAAGGACUACGACAAACAAGGAAAUGAGGGAAGGAAGGAAGGAAGGAAGAAAGGAAGGAAGGAAAGAAGAUGAUUUAACACAGUGUUUUCUCAUACUGUGAAUACAAUAUGGUUGCUGUGGGAGUGUAACUGAUGCGCCUCAUUAGACUUUGAGAUUGUGAGUAGAAGAUACCAAGACCCCGCCGAAUUAAUUUUAAUACUUGGAACACAAAACAUUGAUGCAAAUUUGCCAUUUGCCAGAAGCCAGCAGUUGGAGCGUGGUGAUCCUUCCCAUCUACUCAGCACUUCUGAGGCCAGACCUGGGGUGCUGGAUCCAGCACUGGGCUCCCAGAGAGACAUGGAACUACUGAAGAGAGCCUGUUGAAGGCCCACUAAGAUGUUUGAGAGACUGGAGCAUCUGUCCUAUGAGCAAAGAUUGAGAGAGCUAGGACUGCUCAACCUGGAGAAGAGAAGGCUCAGGGGGAUUUAAUAAACAUAUUUAAAUAGCUGAAGGGAAAAGGAUGGGAACAGGGUCUUUUUGGUGGUGCCCGGUGACAGGACCAGAGGAAAGGGCACAAACUGAAACACAAGAGGCUCCACAUGAACACCAGGAAACAUUUAUUCACGGUGAAGAUGACUGACCCCUGGCACAGGUUGCCCAGCGAGGCUGUAGUCUUCAUUCUCGGAGAUACUGAAAAGCUGUCUGGAGAUGGUGCUGGGCAAUGGGCUGUAGGUCGUCCUGCUUGAGCAGGGUGGUUGGACAAGAUGAUCUCCAGAGGUCCCUUCCAACCUCAAACAUUCUGUGACUCUGGGAAAAUUGUGAGGUUCGACCACAGAAAGCGUUUAUUUCUCUGGGCUCCUCAGGAAAUCCUUAUGAGUAAAUGCCCAAUUUCCAACAUAUUCUAGUCAGACAAAGGACCUGCAUGGUGGCAGACUCACGGAAUCAGAUCCUAAGCUAUCCCAUCGAGUUUAAAACCAAAAAGGAACAGUUGUGAUCUUCUAUUCUGACAUACAAUAUUGUGUCCCUACAUAUAUAGCUUGACAGGUCAUCUUUGUGUGUUAUUAGUUGUUACUAAUAAAGUUCACUGCAAUCAUUUCUCAGGACCAUCGGGGAAUGGCAUCCUAUUGUGUUGAGGGAACAGGACGGACUGCUAGAUAUUCCUAUGUCAUUCACAAUCUACUUUUCAUACACUGCUUGAAACAAUAAAUAGAUGAUCCAUAGCAACUCUAAGGAACAGAAAUGGUGAUGGCAUUCUUUGUCCGGCUUUCAUUUUUUGUUUUUGAUGGUAUUGAUUUAACCUUUAUGAAAAUUAAUCUCAGGAGAGGAACAGAGCCUGAAGAUUUUACUUUUAAGACUAGCAAUUUCCAAGAGCAAUUCCAAGCUGUUGCUCUUCCUGUUUUGGGGUUUUUUGUUUGUUUGGUUGGUUUGGUUUUUUUUUUAAUGGAUUGAUUUUCUUAUUUGAUAAAGCGAUUGCCAGCUAGUGCCUUGUAACUUGGCCAACCUGUUUUCGGGAGUCAUUCAUUCAUCUUAUUAUUGGCAAUAAA